rnacentral:rRNA from 1 species
UACGUAGGGUGCGAGCGUUAAUCGGAAUUACUGGGCGUAAAGCGUGCGCAGGCGGUUCGUUAUGUCCGAUGUGAAAGCCCCGAGCUCAACUUGGGAAUGGCAUUGGAAACUGGCGGGCUGGAGUGCGGUAGGGGAGAUCGGAAUUCCUGGUGUAGCGGUGAAAUGCGCAGAUAUCAGGAGGAACACCGGUGGCGAAGGCGGAUCUCUGGGCCGUAACUGACGCUGAGGAGCGAAAGCAUGGGGAGCGAACAGG